rnacentral:lncRNA from 1 species
UUUAUGUGGGAAAUUGUUUGUUCACUCUUGCAUAUAACAUUGCAGCUAAAGUUGAGAAAGUUGACGAGUCGUCUACGAGUAAGGAAAAAGGCAAGAUGAACAAGUGAUAAAGACUUGUUUGAUUUUAUUUGACAGAAUUUAUGUUAUGAGACUUAUUUGUUUAUAUGAAGUAUUCCGCAAACUUAUGUAACAAUUUAAG